rnacentral:rRNA from 1 species
GUGAGGAAUAUUGGUCAAUGGGCGAGAGCCUGAACCAGCCAAGUCGCGUGAAGGAUGAAGGUUUUAUGAAUUGUAAACUUCUUUUGCAGGGGAAUAAAGUACGGUACGUGUACCGUUUUGUAUGUACUCUGCGAAUAAGGAUCGACUAACUCCGUGCCAGCAGCCGCGGUAAUACGGAGGAUCCGAGCGUUAUCCGGAUUUAUUGGGUUUAAAGGGUGCGUAGGUGGUGUGAUAAGUCAGCGGUGAAAGUUUGCAGCUUAACUGUAAAAAUGCCGUUGAAACUGUCGGACUUGAGUGUAAAUGAGGUAGGCGGAAUGCGUGGUGUAGCGGUGAAAUGCAUAGAUAUCACGCAGAACUCCGAUUGCGAAGGCAGCUUACUAAGCUACAACUGACACUGAAGCACGAAAGCGUGGGGAUCAAACAGGAUUAGAUACCCGAGUAGUCC